GAUGAACGCUGGCGGCGUGCCUAAUACAUGCAAGUCGAGCGAACAGAUAAGGAGCUUGCUCCUUUGACGUUAGCGGCGGACGGGUGAGUAACACGUGGGUAACCUACCCAUAAGACUGGAAUAACUCCGGGAAACCGGGGCUAAUGCCGGAUAACAUUUAGAACCGCAUGGUUCUAAAGUGAAAGAUGGUUUUGCUAUCACUUAUAGAUGGACCCGCGCCGUAUUAGCUAGUUGGUAAGGUAACGGCUUACCAAGGCAACGAUACGUAGCCGACCUGAGAGGGUGAUCGGCCACACUGGAACUGAGACACGGUCCAGACUCCUAAGGGAGGCAGCAGUAGGGAAUCUUCCGCAAUGGGCGAAAGCCUGACGGAGCAACGCCGCGUGAGUGAUGAAGGUCUUCGGAUCGUAAAACUCUGUUAUUAGGGAAGAACAAAUGUGUAAGUAACUGUGCACGUCUUGACGGUACCUAAUCAGAAAGCCACGGCUAACUACGUG
rnacentral:rRNA from 1 species